UCUUUAUUAUUUUGUGUGAAUAGGAGCUUAUGUACACGCAACCCGAUAUAUAAAGUGGGAAGUUUCUAUUUCAAGAAAUGGCAACAAGUGUCUGCAGACAUGCUCACUUCGCAUUGCAGUGGAGUUGAGGAAAGGUCAAUUCCCAGAGACAUCUUUCAGAACGCUCGCCCAUUUGGCGCCAGAUCUCUGCUCAGUCAUUCUCCAGAUUCAGUGUCAGGGGGCACAAAAGGACUCCUCGAGUACAAUGUGGGAACCCUCAGAGGUGGCAUCCUUUUGUCCAUUGACUGCGCGUCCUUUGACACAACUUAAAACAGCACACCUUUAUUCUCUCACCUUUCUAAAAUACUUCUUAACUCGUACGCAUUUGCUAUGGUGCGGAGCCCACGGAAUAUCUCUGCUGAGAUCAUGUCUUGAUCCCAUUGCCUUGUUGUGGCAAAUUACACAGGGCAGAUGCCAGGAAUCGGCAGCCUCUGUCGAGAAACUUAAUCCAUUUUAUUGGGGAAGAAAAAAACCUAAUCCGUAAUCCAAUGAGUUCCCCGAUAAAGGGCCUAAUGAGGCGAGCGCGGAAUUUGCAGGGCUGUCAUUUGAGCAGCCUCCGAUGCAGUACCGAAGCCGGUGUUGAAUGAAAUUACACGCAAUUUUUGACCAGUGCAAUUG